ACCUGGGUGGCUCAGUCGGUUGAGCGUCUGACUUUGGCUCAGGCUGUGAUCUCAUGGUUUGUGAGUUCAAGUCCCACAUCAGGCU
rnacentral:tRNA from 1 species